rnacentral:rRNA from 1 species
AGAGCACUCCUACGGGAGGCAGCAGUGGGGAAUAUUGCACAAUGGGCGCAAGCCUGAUGCAGCCAUGCCGCGUGUAUGAAGAAGGCCUUCGGGUUGUAAAGUACUUUCAGCAGUGAGGAAGGUGGAGUCGUUAAUAGCGGCCUCAUUUGACGUUAGCUGCAGAAGAAGCACCGGCUAACUCCGUGCCAGCAGCCGCGGUAAUACGGAGGGUGCGAGCGUUAUCCGGAUUUAUUGGGUUUAAAGGGUCCGUAGGCGGGUUAAUAAGUCAGUGGUGAAAUCCCAUCGCUUAACGAUGGAACUGCCAUUGAUACUGUUAGUCUUGAAUGAGGGUGCAGUGGUUGGAAUGUGUAGUGUAGCGGUGAAAUGCAUAGAUAUUACACAGAACACCGAUUGCGAAGGCAGAUCACUAACCCUAAAUUGACGCUGAGGUGCGAAAGCGUGGAGAGCAAACAGGAUUAGAUACCCUGGCAG